rnacentral:rRNA from 1 species
GACGGACGCUGGCGGCGUGCUUAACACAUGCAAGUCGAACGGAAAGGCCCUGCUUUUGUGGGGUGCUCGAGUGGCGAACGGGUGAGUAACACGUGAGUAACCUGCCCUUGACUUUGGGAUAACUUCAGGAAACUGGGGCUAAUACCGGAUAGGAGCUCCUGCUGCAUGGUGGGGGUUGGAAAGUUUCGGCGGUUGGGGAUGGACUCGCGGCUUAUCAGCUUGUUGGUGGGGUAGUUGCUUACCAAGGCUUUGACGGGUAGCCGGCCUGAGAGGGUGAACGGGCACAUUGGGACUGAGAUACGGCGCAGACUCCUACGGGAGGCAGCAGUGGGGAAUAUUGCACAAUGGGCGGAAGCCUGAUGCAGCAACGCCGCGUGCGGGAUGACGGCCUUCGGGGUGUAAACCGCUUUCGCCUGUGACGAAGCGUGAGUGACGGUAAUGGGUAAAGAAGCACCGGCUAACUACGUG